rnacentral:lncRNA from 1 species
GUAGGUAUAAAGCGCGAUUUUGCUAUCAUUGAUGGAUUAUUAUCCAAAUUCAGGUCGACCGUCUGAUUUGCGGGAGGUCGUUGUUAUCCUCAUCCUAGUCAUUGCAAGAUAGCAUAUUUUACUCACUCAAGAUAUGAUCAAAAGAUCCUUGAAGCUAGCUAAGGCCUGGUGCAGCAUAGUUAAUUAGCUAAUUCCUCUCCUUUCAUGCAUUGAUCUCAUGACCUAUAUAUGUCUGU